UCGAACGAUGAAGCCCUUCGGGGUGGAUUAGUGGCGAACGGGUGAGUAACACGUGGGCAAUCUGCCCUGCACUCUGGGACAAGCCCUGGAAACGGGGUCUAAUACCGGAUGAUACUUCCUCCCGCAUGGGGGGAGGUUGAAAGCUCCGGCGGUGCAGGAUGAGCCCGCGGCCUAUCAGCUUGUUGGUGGGGUGAUGGCCUACCAAGGCGACGACGGGUAGCCGGCCUGAGAGGGCGACCGGCCACACUGGGACUGAGACACGGCCCAGACUCCUACGGGAGGCAGCAGUGGGGAAUAUUGCACAAUGGGCGAAAGCCUGAUGCAGCGACGCCGCGUGAGGGAUGACGGCCUUCGGGUUGUAAACCUCUUUCAGCAGGGAAGAAGCGAAAGUGACGGUACCUGCAGAAGAAGCGCCGGCUAACUACGUGCCAGCAGCCGCGGUAAUACGUAGGGCGCAAGCGUUGUCCGGAAUUAUUGGGCGUAAAGAGCUCGUAGGCGGCUUGUCACGUCGGAUGUGAAAGCCCGGGGCUUAACCCCGGGUCUGCAUUCGAUACGGGCAGGCUAGAGUGUGGUAGGGGAGAUCGGAAUUCCUGGUGUAGCGGUGAAAUGCGCAGAUAUCAGGAGGAACACCGGUGGCGAAGGCGGAUCUCUGGGCCAUUACUGACGCUGAGGAGCGAAAGCGUGGGGAGCGAACAGGAU
rnacentral:rRNA from 1 species